GGGGAUCGUCCCAGAAGGACCCAGCCACAAGCGAGGACACCGGUGCAUCAAGCCCUGGCGCCUGUGUUUCCGUGAACAGCGCCCUUCUCCUCCUCCCCAGACAUUGGUCCUGGCACCUGUGUGUCCGUGGGCAGCAGCCUCUUCCUCCUCCCCAGACCUCAGUUUCUGCACGUGUGAAAAGGGGGCUCUUCCAAGACUCUUACAUGAAUGCAAAAAUCGGGAUUUCGUCCAGCAUGCUCAGAAUUGUCGACCCUACACAGGCACCUGAGAAAUCAGAGCUGAGUCAGGAGAGCCGGUGUGGAUGUACUGGGAGCUCCUUCCCUUGCUGCGUCAGCACUCUUGAGACUGGAGAGCCCUGGAGGUUGGGGACCGGCCACUUGCUGGUGGACCAGACUCCCUGCAGUCUGGGAUGGUGACAGACAUGAGACAUGGCUGUGGAAGUAAUUGGUAACAGUAGUAGCCCGCAUUUAUUGAGCACUGACUAUGUGCUUGGCUUUGUGUGAAGGCCAGUCACAUGCAUUAUUUCCCCCUCCCACAGCCUUGUCUGGUGGGUACUGCUAUUCUGUCCCCAGUUUACUGAUGAGACAUUUGAGGCCCAGAGUUGCUGGGUAGUAACCAGUCCAAAGUCACCCUGCUGACAAGUAGCUGAAGCAGUAGUCCCCAGUCUUACCUACUAUACUGUACUGAGAAAGGUUUGACCUGGAAGGCAGAAUGGCAGAGGGGGAAAUGACAAGGUUCUAGCAGUAUUAAUAAUAGAUACCAUGCAUUGAGCACCCACUAAGUGCUGGGUGCUGGCCCAAGGGCAUUUCAUGAAUCAUUUAUCCUCCUGACAGUGAACCCUAUACUGUAAAUUUUAUUUCCAUUUCAAAGGUGAAGCUCGGAGAAGUCACUUUAUAUGCCUUAGGGCACAUAUAGUAAAAAACUAACUUUUCGAUUCAUUGAUGGUGCAUUCUGCCUGCCUGCAUGUCACUCUUAGGCAUAUUCCACUCUUCUCUGAGUCAAGCUUUCUCCUACUGUGAAAUGAGAGGCUUGGACUGGGAGACUUUGAAUGUUCUUUCCCCAGCCGAUGUUGUUUGAUUUUAGGGAGUUUUGACAUGAAUGUUGGAGAUCUGGAUUUGAGGAUUACAUUUGUUCCUAAUUAACUGUAAUUUAGGCACAUCUCUGCAUCUCUGGGCUUCAGUUUCCGCAUUAGUAAAAGGUAAGACUAGACCAGGCAUGUUGGCUCAUGUCUGUAAUCCCAGAACUUUGGGAGGCUGAGGAGGAAGGAGGAUUGCUUGAAGCCAGGAGUUUGAGUCCAGCCUGGGCAACAAAACAAGACCCUGUCUCUACAAUAAAAAAAAAUUAAAAAGUUCAAAUUAGCCAGGUGCAGUGGCUCAUGCUUGAAGUCCCAGCUACUUGGAGAGCUGAGGUGGGAUACUCACUUGAGCCCAGGAGUUUGAGGCUGCAGUGAGCUAUAAUCAUGCCACUGCGCUCUAUCCUGGGCAACAGAGCGAGGCCCCGUCUCUAAAAAGAAAAUGGGCUGGGCACGGUGACUCACACCUGUAAUCCUAACACUUUGGGUGGCUGAGGUGGGAGGAUCACUUGAUCCCAGGAGUUUGAGACCAGCCUGGGCAACAUGGCAAAACCCUGUCUCUACGAAAAAUACAAAAAACUGGCUAGGCAUGGUGACAUGUACCUGUGGUUCCAGCUAUCUAGCUAUCCGGGAGGUGGAGGCAGAAGGAUCACCUGAGCCCAGGAGGUUGAGACUGCAGUGAUCCAUGAUCACGCCACAGCCUUGGCAACAGAGUGAGACCCUGUCUCAAAAAAAAAGAAAAAAAAAUUACAGAGAUUAGCAUUUCCAAUCACCAGAGUGCCUUCUGGCUUGAAUAUUUUAUGACUGCAGAUGAAGAGACAACCUGAGGUUCAGCAAACUGCAUCCUCUGAGAAAGUCUAAUGAACGUAAAUCUGCUACCUUACUCAGAAUGUCCCUGGCACAAGUUUCCAAGGAUAGACCCUCUGUGUGAAGGGGAGCAGCUGCCUUUGAGCAAUCAGCAGUAACUGCUUGGGGAGGCUUAGUCCCCUAAUAGUUCAGAAGUCACCUCCAAGGUCAGACGGACCCACAGCUGAACGCCAACACUUCCACUUCUCGUGGGGGCUUAUUUGGCCUCCCCAGGAUGGACUGGAGCAUCAGUAGUGCCCGGGUUUAUCACAGGACAGAUACUCAAGACACUCUUAUCACCAUUAGGUGGACUUGGAGGAGCAAAAAACAAGUGCAGUGGCUCCUCAGCAGAGACACUCCUGAAUGUAUAGACAUGGGAACCACCUUCAGCAUCAAAAAAGGAAACGUUCUGCAUGCC
rnacentral:lncRNA from 1 species